rnacentral:rRNA from 1 species
GAACGAGCUGAGACCUUCGGGUCUCGAUGCUAGUGGCGCACGGGUGAGUAACGCGUGGGAACGUACCCUUUAGUACGGAAUAACCCAGGGAAACUUGGGCUAAUACCGUAUACGCCCUUCGGGGGAAAGAUUUAUCGCUAAAGGAUCGGCCCGCGUCUGAUUAGGUAGUUGGUGAGGUAACGGCUCACCAAGCCGACGAUCAGUAGCUGGUCUGAGAGGAUGAUCAGCCACACUGGGACUGAGACACGGCCCAGACUCCUACGGGAGGCAGCAGUGGGGAAUAUUGGACAAUGGGCGCAAGCCUGAUCCAGCAAUGCCGCGUGAGUGAUGAAGGCCUUAGGGUUGUAAAGCUCUUUCGGCGGGGACGAUGAUGACGGUACCCGCAGAAGAAGCCCCGGCUAACUUCGUG